UUAACGUAUUGUCCUUGGGUUCGCAGUAAUUGGCUAAUCGCUGUUGCGAAUACCCUGCCAUAUAGUCUAGUUAAUUCGUUAAAUUAUUACUUUGUAAUAACUGUUAAUACUAUCUGGCAAAGUUAAUAAAUUAAUUAAUUAAUCUUUUUAGAGGUAGUUAGUGUAUAGUAUUUUAAUAUUUUCUUAACUUGUAAAUAUAAGCGUAAUUCAUGCAGCCUAUUUGGGUGCAAUGUUUUUUAUGAAAUAAACCAUCUAUCUUUCUAUCUACAGGGUGUAUGAGGAAAAAAGUAGACAAUCUUGAAACGGCUCUCAAUUUCACUAGGGGCGUAGGAAGCAUGAAAAAGUUGGAGGGGGGCCUCGGUUUGGAGGGGCACUUUUAGAAUAAAAAGGGCACCUCAAAAAUUUUUUCCCGGAAAUGUUGGCAACGGGGAGGGGGCAGGGCCGUAGUUAGCAUGUAUAGU